ACGGAGGGUGCGAGCGUUGUUCGGAAUUAUUGGGCGUAAAGCGCACGUAGGCGGCCCGUUAAGUCUCUUGGUGAAAGGCCGGGGCUCAACCCCGAGCAUGCCGGGGAUACUGGGGGGCUGGAGACAGGUAGAGGCCAGCGGAAUUCCGGGUGUAGCGGUGGAAUGCGUAGAGAUCCGGAAGAACACCGGAGGCGAAGGCGGCUGGCUGGACCUGAUCUGACGCUGAGGUGCGAAAGCGUGGGGAGCGAACAGGA
rnacentral:rRNA from 1 species